UCUGCACAUGGUUAGAGCUUGGAGCUGAGGCCACUGGCCGAUGAACUCACAAGUGUAGGUAGUGUGCUACAUGAGGGGCAAGUUUUUCGCUAACAUCACAAGGCUCUCUGGCCCAAUGAGUGGAGUUUGAUAGUAAUUCUUGCUACAAAU
rnacentral:snoRNA from 1 species